CCUUACUAUUCCUGAUGAUCAAGUCCUUAUGGAGGGUUGUGCCCAGUUGAGGUACCUGUUUUCAAAAGAGACUUGAGAGAGCAGUGGGCCUUGAGGGAGAGAACAGGUGGGAUAUGGACCAGCCAGUCACUUUAGUAGAGAGCCCUCAUUUCAGGCAGCUUCAAAUGCCUCAUCAUUUCUGAACGAGUUUCAGCUCCAGGAGAUUUCAGUGCUGGAGGAAUUGCAAUAAGCUAUGAAACUUUAUCCCUUCUCAAGACUCUUCCAAGUCACUGGGGAACUCUGGCUUCCACGGGUACAUUCCUGCUCAUCAUUGCUCAUCUCUUUAGGGUUGACUUGAUAAAGAUAUGAACGUCUGUCAGUUUUCAAUUAGUUGAUGAGCAAAUCUCUGCCAAAUGGGCCAAAGUUCACGGUGUACUGUGACGUCGUCUAACCAGACCACCUGGAUUGCGCCCACCAUGGGCAAAGGUGCCCAGUAUCACAGGAGCCAGAGCAGCAAGACAGCACUGUGUGUUCUGAGAGAGGUUGCAGCCUGCUUUGCAUUCAGAAAAUGAAGCUUUGCACUUGGGGUUUUGGGAGAAAAAAAAAAAAAAAAAAGAUGUGAAGGAAACAAAACAGAAUGAAA